GGAUACUCCGGGAAACCGGGGCUAAUACCGGAUAACAUUUUGAACCGCAUGGUUCGAAAUUGAAAGGCGGCUUCGGCUGUCACUUAUGGAUGGACCCGCGUCGCAUUAGCUAGUUGGUGAGGUAACGGCUCACCAAGGCAACGAUGCGUAGCCGACCUGAGAGGGUGAUCGGCCACACUGGGACUGAGACACGGCCCAGACUCCUACGGGAGGCAGCAGUAGGGAAUCUUCCGCAAUGGACGAAAGUCUGACGGAGCAACGCCGCGUGAGUGAUGAAGGCUUUCGGGUCGUAAAACUCUGUUGUUAGGGAAGAACAAGUGCUAGUUGAAUAAGCUGGCACCUUGACGGUACCUAACCAGAAAGCCACGGCUAACUACGUGCCAGCAGCCGCGGGUAAUAC
rnacentral:rRNA from 1 species